CCUACGGGAGGCUGCAGUGGGGAAUCUUCGGCAAUGGGCGCAAGCCUGACCCAGCAACGCCGCGUGAAGGAAGAAGGCUUUCGGGUUGUAAACCUCUUUUGACAGGGAAGAGCAGAAGACGGUACCUGUCGAAUAAGCCACGGCUAACUACGUGCCAGCAGCCGCGGUAAUACGUAGGUGGCAAGCGUUGUACGGAUUUACUGGGGGUAAAGGGCGCGUAGCCGGGCUGACAAGUCAGAUGUGAAAUCCGGGGGCUCAACCCCCGAACUGCAUUUGAAACUGUUGGUCUUGAGUAUCGGAGAGGCAGGCGGAAUUCCUAGUGUAGCGGUGAAAUGCGUAGAUAUUAGGAGGAACACCAGUGGCGAAGGCGGCCUGCUGGACGACAACUGACGGUGAGGCGCGAAAGCGUGGGGAGCAAACAGGAUUAGAUACCCUUGUAGUC
rnacentral:rRNA from 1 species